GCAUCAACCUGGGUGCUGUGCUGUCGCUGCUGGUGGUGGCUUUUAUUCAGCAGAACAUCAGCUUCCUGCUGGGCUACAGCAUCCCUGUGGGCUGUGUGGGCCUGGCAUUUUUCAUCUUCCUCUUUGCCACCCCCGUCUUCAUCACCAAGCCCCCGACGGGCAGCCAAGUGUCCUCUAUGCUUAAGCUCGCUCUCCAAAACUGCUGCCCCCAGCUGUGGCAACGACACUCGGCCAGAGACCGUCAACGUGCCCGCGUGCUGGCCGACCAGAGGUCUCCCCAGCCAGGGGCUUCCCCGCAAGAGGACAUCACCAACUUCCAGGUGCUGGUGAAGAUCUUGCCCGUCAUGGUGACCCUGGUGCCCUACUGGAUGGUCUACUUCCAGGUGAGCAUACCUGCCCUUUUUCUCUGGGGGCCUGGCUCCCCACUCACCAUCUGAAUGGCCUCAUUUCUCAUCACAGAGGCCCAGGGCAUGUGGAAAGGGGGAAAGCCUGGGAAUAAAGUGAGGUGCUGCCCCGUACCAGCUAGCAUGGGGCCUGGCACAAAGCCGUCUCAGCAAUCCAACUCC
rnacentral:sRNA from 1 species